GCCUGGCUGGCUCAGUUCGUAGAGCAUAAGACUCUCAAUCUCAGGGUUGUAAGUUCAAGACCCACGCUGGGUG
rnacentral:tRNA from 1 species